rnacentral:rRNA from 1 species
UACGAAGGGGGCUAGCGUUGCUCGGAAUUACUGGGCGUAAAGGGCGCGUAGGCGGACAGUUUAGUCAGAGGUGAAAGCCCAGGGCUCAACCUUGGAAUUGCCUUUGAUACUGGCUGUCUUGAGUUCGGGAGAGGUGAGUGGAAUUCCGAGUGUAGAGGUGAAAUUCGUAGAUAUUCGGCGGAACACCAGUGGCGAAGGCGACUCACUGGCCCGAUACUGACGCUGAGGCGCGAAAGCGUGGGGAGCAAACAGG